rnacentral:rRNA from 1 species
UACGUAGGGGGCAAGCGUUGUCCGGAAUUAUUGGGCGUAAAGAGCGUGUAGGCGGUCCGGUAAGUCAGCUGUGAAAGUCAAGGGCUCAACCCUUGAAAGCCGGUUGAUACUGUCGGGCUAGAGUCCGGAAGAGGCGAGUGGAAUUCCCGGUGUAGCGGUGAAAUAUGCAGAUAUCGGGAGGAACACCAAUGGCGAAGGCAGCUCGCUGGGACGGUACUGACGCUGAGACGCGAAAGCGUGGGGAGCAAACAGG